rnacentral:rRNA from 1 species
GCCCGAUUAGCUAGUUGGUGAGGUAACGGCUCACCAAGGCUUUGAUCGGUAGCCGGUCUGAGAGGAUGGCCGGCCACACUGGAACUGAGACACGGUCCAGACUCCUACGGGAGGCAGCAGUGGGGAAUAUUGCGCAAUGGGCGAAAGCCUGACGCAGCGACGCCGCGUGGGGGAUGAAGCUUCUCGGAGUGUAAACCCCUUUCGACCCGGACGAAUGACCCGCAAGGGUUUGACGGUACGGGUAUAAGAAGCCCCGGCUAACUACGUGCCAGCAGCCGCGGUAAUACGUAGGGGGCCAGCGUUGCUCGGAAUUACUGGGCGUAAAGGGUUCGUAGGUGGUGCGGCAAGUUGGAAGUGAUUUCUCUGGGCUUAACCCAGAGGCUGCUUUCAAAACUGCCGCGCUCGAGUGCGAGAGAGGUCAGUGGAAUUGCAGGUGUAGCGGUGAAAUGCGUAGAUAUCUGCAGGAACACCCGUGGCGAAGGCGGCUGACUGGAUCGCCAUCUGACACUGAGGAACGAAAGCUAGGGGAGCA